rnacentral:rRNA from 1 species
UACGGAGGGUGCAAGCGUUAUCCGGAUUUAUUGGGUUUAAAGGGUGCGUAGGCGGUUUGAUAAGUCAGCGGUGAAAUAUUUCAGCUUAACUGGAAGGGUGCCGUUGAUACUGUCAGGCUUGAAUUUAGUUGCUGUGGGUGGAAUGUGUGGUGUAGCGGUGAAAUGCAUAGAUAUCACACAGAAUAUCGAUUGCGAAGGCAGCUCACAAAGCUAAUAUUGACGCUGAUGCACGAAAGUGUGGGGAUCAAACAGGAUUAGAUACCCUGGUAGUCCACACUGUAAACGAUGAUAACUCGCUGUCGGCGAUACACAGUCGGUGGCCAAGCGAAAGCGAUAAGUUAUCCACCUGGGGAGUACGACCGCAAGGUUGAA